AUAGUGGAGAGCACAGGCAGCCGGAGACUUAAGCUGGCUGCUCCCACCUCCGCCUCUCCACGCUUCCUGCUUCCACCAUGAAGCCGCUGUGAGUAAAACCGACAUGCCUGGAGGCUGUGCCCCUUUAUCCUGGAUCUUCCGGGAGGCCCUGGCAUGAGGCCUGACAGCCCCUGGUAUUUGGCUUUUAUCUUCUUGGACCCAAUAUAUACUGGGCACAGCAUCUUAACAGCAAUAUAAACUCGAAAAAGAACCUAAUAAAAAAUGUACAAGACCUAUAAUGGAGCCUUCCCAUCCAUGAACAUGAUUUUGUAGGUACAGGUUGAAUAUCAUUUAUCCAAAAUGCUUGGGACCCGAAGUGUUUCUGAUUUCAGACGUUUUUGGAUUUUGGAAUAUCUGCAUACACAAAAGGAGCUAUCUUGGGGAUGGGACCCAAGUCUAAAUAUGAAAUUCAUUUUUUUCAUAUACACCUUAUGCACAUAGCCUGAAGGUCCCGUGUUCCUCUCAACUUGCGGGGCUGUGGAACGGACCUAUUUUCUACCUAAGCUCUCAUAUGCAUUGCCUCCUGAUAUGGUUUGGCUUUGUGUCCCCACCCAAACCUCAUCUCCAAUUGUAUCCCCAGGUGUUGAGGAAGGGCCCUAGUGGGAGGAUCUGAUGAUUGGAUCAUGGGGGCGGUUUCUUCCGUGCUGUUCUCAUAAGAGCGAGUGAGUUCCCACGAGAUCUGGUGGUUUUAUAAGAGGCUCUUCCUCCUUUGCUGUGUCUCCUGCCACCUUGUGAAAAAGCUGCUUGCUUCCCCUUUGCCUUCCGCCAUGAUUGUAAGUUUCCUGAGGCCUCCCGAGCCAUAUGGAACUGUGAGUCAAUUA